rnacentral:lncRNA from 1 species
CAUGGAGUUGCAAAGAGUUGGACACGACUGAGCAACAUUUUUUUCAAUUUUUGACUUAUAUAUAUAUAUUUGUAACCCAAACAACACUAUAUUUGGUUUCAGAUGAAAACUACUUGAAUCUGGAAGCCACACAUACCUGGGAGAAUGGCAUCAAGCUCAAGAGAGGUAGGCUUCUUCACAGUUCAAUUCCUCUCCAUUUCAUCAACGAUUUUGAAAUAGCUGCUGGGGAAUGUAUUAUGGAGACUGAAGAGAAGAAAAAGAAGGUUCCUGCUGUGCCAGAAACCCUUAAGAAAAAGCGGAAGAAUUUCGCAGAGCUUAAGAUCAAGCGACUGAGAAAGAAGUUUGCCCAAAGAUGCUUGAAAGGCAAGGAGGAAGCUUAUCUAUGAAAAAGCUAAGCAUUACCACAAGGAAUACAGGCAGAUGUACAGAACUGAAAUUGAAUGGCUAGGAUGGCCGAAAAGCCGGUAACUUCUAUGUACCAUGAACCCAAAUUGGCGUUUGUCUGUGGGAUUCUCCAAGCAAGAAUACUGGAGUGGGUUGCCAUGCCCUCCUCCAGGGAUCUUCCUGACCCAGGAUCGAACCGCAUCUCUUCCAUCUCCUGCAUUGGCAGACAGGUUCUUUACCACUAGUGUGACCUGGGAAGCCCACACAACAAUCUUAGAAUAAAGCAAACUUCACAUUCCCAAUAAUAUCAACAAAAGUCCCAGUAUUGAAUCGCACUCAGUCACGUGCUCUUCUGAACUGAUUAACUGGUAGUUGGUAGGUGGAGUCAGGCUCACCCAAGAAUAUGGACUGUGAGAGUGGGGAGGGGUUAUUCCCUAAGGGAAAAUCUGGAUGUUAUUUCCAAAGAGAAAAUGGAUACUGAUCAGGCAAAAACAACAUGUCCUCACCAAAAAGAGUAAUGUCAUUAGGGUAUUAGAAAUUAGAAAUAAAAAAUAGCUACAUAGGGAGUCCUUGUAGAGAGUUCAAGCAUUUAGAAUAUUUUGACACACCAAAAUACGUGUCUCCUAUGGAAAACAGUGUGGAUAUUCCUUAAAAAACUGGAAAUAGAACUGCCUUAUGAUCCAGCAAUCCCACUGCUGGGCAUACACACUGAGGAAACCAGAAGGGAAAGAGACACAUGUACCCCAAUGUUCAUUGCAGCACUGUUUAUAAUAGCCAGGACAUGGAAACAACCUAGAUGUCCAUCACAGAUGAAUGGAUAAGAAAGCUGUGGUACAUAUACACAAUGGAGUAUUACUCAGCCAUUAAAAGAAUACAUUUGAAUCAGUUCUAAUGAGGUGGAUGAAACUGGAGCCUAUUAUACAGAGUGAAGUAAGCCAGAAAGAAAAACACCAAUACAGUAUAGUAAUGCAUAUAUAUGGAAUUUAGAAAGAUGGUAACAAGAACCCUGUGUACGAGACAGCAAAAGAGACACUGAUGUAUAGAACAGUCUUUCGGACUCUG